GAAAAAAAAAGAAGAAAGAAAGAGAGCGUUAUGGGAAUAGGGCAUCACCGAAGAAGAAGAAAGAAAAGAGAGCAAGCUAACCGAGGAGAAGGAAAAUCGGACACCAUGACCAUCACCACAAGUUCUUGCCUUCCUUAAAAGGUUGAAAAGCUUGAAUUCCUUCCAUAAUUACUCUUUCUUGGCUGCCAAAAAGCUAUUCACAAGGUGAGGGACUUCAAUUCCCCUUCUUUCAUCAGUUCGGUUCCUAACAUCACCAUGCAAACCAACCUAUGCUCUUCAUUCUAGUUUGUGAAAUUUAAGGCCAUUUUCUCUAACUCCUCUGAACCACCGAACCAUCUAGCUAGAGAAGGUGUUGUAGCCGAGAAGGUGAGCUUGGGAGCAAAGCACCUCAACUUUUGACACAACCAAGGCAGGAAUGGCUUAGAGGAUGGAAAGGGAGCAUACAAAAGUAGAAGAAACAUAAGAAUUUGGAUAUUUGAGCAGCUGGUGCCGACGCGUAUGCGUGGCUGACGCGUACGCGUGACGAGCGUCACAUGCUGAAUAAGGUGAAAACACUGGGGGCGAUUUCUGGGCUACUUUUGGCCCAGUUUCAGGUCCAAAAAGGAAGACAAGAGGCUGGGGAGUGGAGCAGGAGAAAAUUCCAUUCAUUCAUACACACAUUAGUUUUAGAUGUAGAAUUCUAGAGAGUGAGUCUCUCUCUUCUCUCUAGGUUUUACUGUUUCUUCUUUUAUUUUCAAUUUCAUCUAGGUUUAGGUUCUACUUAUUAUCUUGAUUCAAGUUUCUCUUUCAAUUCUUGUUAUUACUCCUUUGCUUUCUUAGUUUUAUAUGUUGUUUCCUUUACCUAGUUGCUUUAUUGUUCAUGACUCCUUGUUGAUUCCAAUUUCCUUUUAAUUCAA